GACAGGGAUCAAAUGUUGCCAACAAGUUUCCAAAUUUUGUUAUGACGAAUAACGGCUGUAAAAAAGCCGUUAUUGUAAAGUCCGUGCAAGCGAGAACGCACAGUAGCAUAGUGUGUUCGUUCCGCAGACGUUUGUUUCGAAAAUAUGCUGCAAUUAUCGUUCCAUUUGCGACGCUUCCGACCACAGACAGGGAAAUGUUAGCAAUGAUCACAAACACGUUUAUGGCGAAAUAGACCCCUUCCGCAGGGUACCUUGAGUAAUAAGUGAUGUAUAAACCAUUGCAACGCGCAAAACUCGUCAAAUUCGUGUCCUGUUCCAUCUUCACUGACAGCCUGUUGUUUCAAAGAUAAUUCUCUUCGUUAUUAUUAGAUGAAACUCGCUCUUCGCUGCGUAUUUCACUUUCUUAGACUUCGUUUUCGAUAUCAAGAG